CUCAGACUGUGAUGAAGGCAAAUCUUCCCUUGCUGGCAGCUGAUUUACUCUCCGGUUAUCAUUUAGGGGAUUGCGGUGUAAGACAAAGAAGUGUGCACAUGAAAAACAUUUUCAUAAUGGAUUCUCCCAAAUCUCCCCAAGAACUGAAACAGAGACAAUAUAAGACCUGUGAUUUAUCAGUGCCAGGUCACAGAGAAAAUGUGCCAAAUUUUUUGGCAUAUGCAACUUCAGUGAAAUAUGGAUUAAAGCUGAGGUCACAGGACUAAGAGGACCAGAGGGGAUCAUUCCAUUAAUAAUGCUGUGAAUCUGGGCACACCUACAGCAUAUUCAAUUAAGGUCAUUUCUGAAUUCUAGGCAGCCCUUGGCAAAACAUUUGUUCAUCCAAACCGAACACUGCUCCGCAAAGGAAGAGCUGUGUGCAUUCAGAAAAUGAACCAGGGUUUUGACUGACUAAUUGCUUGUACACCAGGUCAGCUUGAUUAUAAGUUGUAAGCAUUAUGAAGCAUGUUUUGGACACAAGAAUGUUUUAAAUGGCAGCCGUUAAAGGUUUCAGGGCAAGAACUUUUUAAGAACAAAUUAAUCACCAGUACUCCGGAUUUAGCUUAGUUUAAAUGCCUUUAAAAAUGUAUCUGUGACUGAUUCACAGCCUGUUUCAAAGCAGACAAGUUUUGACUUACUUUUUGAUAUACUGGACUUGAUUAGUGAAUGGGAAUUGAAAUGCGGGGGGAAAUACAAGCUUCCUUCCUGCUACCCUGUCAGCCAGGCACAGUAUAGAUCUCACCUGAAGCAAAUCUUGUUUUCUCCAUGCUCUAGUCUCCAGAAAUGUUAUAAUCACGAUUCAAGGUUGCCCAGAUACUUCUCCGUGUCUGAGGCAUGAAAGCAAAAUGGAGUACCGUUCUUCCACUUGCAAACAUGAGACAUAAUCUACCAGGUAAUUCGAAUAUAUAAACCUUGUUCAAAUGAGCUGCACAGCUCCUUGUUUACUUCAACGAGGUUCAUGCUGGAGAAUUUCCCAGUAGUUUACUAAGCAGGGUUUACUCGGAAAUACAUUCCAUUUGGUUCAAUGCGACUGGCUCCCAGUAAACUUGCUCAGCAUGGCUGCCUAAAUCUUGCCUGUCUGCCUCCCAUCCCAUCAUCCUUAAUGGCUCUCAUAAUCUGCCUCCUGGGACAGCUGUCUUGCUAUAUACCACAUUGUAACAGUGCUUCUGAAUACAAUAACAGAUUCAAUGUUGAAAUCGAGGCAGAAUGUGGAAAUCUAGUUUCAUAUUUUUGUUCUGUUAUUAAUAUAAACAACUCAGUAUAAAUAAGGCUCUUUAUAGCUCUCCAUGGCCCAUAAAUCCCAAAGUAGUGUUUAAAACAGGAUAGAUGAUAGAUAUAGAUAGAUAGAUAGAUGAUAGAUAGAUAGAUAGAUAGAUAGAUAGAUAGAUAGAUAGAUAGAUGAUAGAUAGAUAGAAUUACUAUGAUUUGUUAACUACAUUGCAGAUUUUGUAGCUGGUACUUGUGAAGAAAGACCCUUGACACAUGGACACCGUAUUUCCUUGUCUGCUUGCAUAACCCUGUUUUCAACAUGAUCAGUCUAUUGACCAGUCCAAAGUUGCAUCAGGAAUGAGAGAGAGAGAAAGAAUCAAGUGCUUGGCUUCUGAUGACCUUUAGAUCAUUCUGUGUAAGGAACCACUGUAUGGUUUUCAAAUUAAAAAUCUUAUCUGGGCAGGUAGGGACCUGGAUGCCUUGUCCUUGGAUGAUCUCUCAAGUGAAGAGUCUCAUCUGACAAGAGCCUGUCUACUUGACUUCACAUCUGAAGAGCUUGACAAUAGUGCAUUAAUGUCAUAAGCUGGGGAAAGCACAAGAAUUCUAUGAAAGUGUGCUGGCACUUUUAAUAGAAAGGGCC
rnacentral:lncRNA from 1 species